rnacentral:rRNA from 1 species
UACGUAGGGGGCAAGCGUUGUCCGGAUUUACUGGGCGUAAAGAGCGUGUAGGCGGCCACGCAGGUCCGUUGUGAAAACUGGAGGCUCAACCUCCAGCUGUCGACGGAAACCGUAUGGCUAGAGUCCGGAAGAGGAGAGUGGAAUUCCUGGUGUAGCGGUGAAAUGCGCAGAUAUCAGGAGGAACACCAAUAGCGAAGGCAGCUCGCUGGGACGUUACUGACACUGAGGCGCGAAAGCGUGGGGAGCGAACAGG